rnacentral:rRNA from 1 species
GGUCCUACGGGAGGCAGCAGUGGGGAAUAUUACGCAAUGGGCGAAAGCCUGACGCAGCGACGCCGCGUGAGGGAUGAAGGUCUUCGGAUCGUAAACCUCUGUCAGCAGGGAAGAACGGUCACUGUGCUAAUCAGCAGUGAAUUGACGGUACCUGCAAAGGAAGCACCGGCUAACUCCGUGCCAGCAGCCGCGGUAAUACGGAGGAUCCGAGCGUUAUCCGGAUUUAUUGGGUUUAAAGGGUGCGCAGGCGGUCUGUUAAGUCAGCGGUCAAAGCCCGGGGCUCAACCCCGGCCCGCCGUUGAAAC